AGGUAACAUGGUGAGGGCACCUUCUCAAUAAGUUCUUAUACCUCUCCCAUGCAUCAUAUAAGGUUUCUAACUCGAUUUGAACGAAGAAAGAGAUAUCAUUCCUCAACUU
rnacentral:snoRNA from 1 species